rnacentral:rRNA from 1 species
AGAGUUCGAUCCUGGCUCAGGAUGAACGCUGGCGGCGCGCCUAACACAUGCAAGUCGAACGAUUAAAGCACCUUCGGGUGUGUAUAAAGUGGCGAACGGCUGAGUAACACGUGGGCAACCUGCCCCUCUCAUUGGGAUAGCCACGGGAAACCGUGGAUAAUACCGAAUACUUCGAGACUUCCGCAUGAAAGACUCGAGAAAGCUCCGGCGGAGAGGGAUGGGCCCGCGGCCUGUUAGCUUGUUGGUGGGGUAACGGCCUACCAAGGCAAUGAUGGGUAGCUGGGUUGAGAGACCGACCAGCCAGAUUGGGACUGAGACACGGCCCAGACUCCUACGGGAGGCAGCAGUGGGGAAUCUUGCACAAUGGGCGAAAGCCUGAUGCAGCGACGCCGCGUGCGGGAUGAAGGCCUUCGGGUUGUAAACCGCUUUCAGCAGGGACGAGGCGAAAGUGACGGUACCUGCAGAAGAAGCCCCGGCUAACUACGUGCCAGCAGCCGCGGUAAUACGUAGGGGGCAAGCGUUAUCCGGAUUCAUUGGGCGUAAAGCGCUCGUAGGCGGUCUGUUAGGUCGGGAGUUAAAUCCGGGGGCUCAACCCCCGUUCGCUCCCGAUACCGGCAGACUUGAGUUUGGUAGGGGAAGGUGGAAUUCCUAGUGUAGCGGUGGAAUGCGCAGAUAUUAGGAAGAACACCAGUGGCGAAGGCGGCCUUCUGGGCCAUAACUGACGCUGAGGAGCGAAAGCUAGGGGAGCAAACAGGAUUAGAUACCCUGGUAGUCCUAGCCGUAAACGAUGGACACUAGGUGUGGGGGAAUAUUUCUUCCGUGCCGCAGCUAACGCAUUAAGUGUCCCGCCUGGGGAGUACGGCCGCAAGGCUAAAACUCAAAGGAAUUGACGGGGGCCCGCACAAGCAGCGGAGCAUGUGGUUUAAUUCGAAGCAACGCGAAGAACCUUACCAGGGCUUGACAUCCUGCUGACAGGACCUUAACCGGUCCCUUCUUCGGACAGCAGAGACAGGUGGUGCAUGGUUGUCGUCAGCUCGUGUCGUGAGAUGUUGGGUUAAGUCCCGCAACGAGCGCAACCCUUGUCCCGUGUUGCCAGCACGUUGUGGUGGGGACUCGCGGGAGACUGCCGGGGUCAACUCGGAGGAAGGUGGGGAUGACGUCAAAUCAUCAUGCCCCUUAUGUCUUGGGCUUCACGCAUGCUACAAUGGUUGGUACAGAGGGUUGCGAUACUGUGAGGUGGAGCGAAUCCCUUAAAGCCAGUCUCAGUUCGGAUUGGGGUCUGCAACUCGACCCCAUGAAGGUGGAGUCGCUAGUAAUCGCAGAUCAGCAACGCUGCGGUGAAUACGUUCUCGGGCCUUGUACACACCGCCCGUCACGUCACGAAAGUUGGUAACACCCGAAGCCCAUGGCCUAACCGCGUUUGUGGGGGGAGUGGUCGAAGGUGGGAUUGGCGAUUGGGACGAAGUCGUAACAAGGUAGCCGUACCGGAAGGUGCGGCUG